AGAGUUUGAUCAUGGCUCAGAAUCAACGCUGGCGGCGUGCCUAACACAUGCAAGUCGAACGCGAAAGUGGAGCAAUCCAUGAGUAGAGUGGCAAACGGGUGAGUAACACGUGGGUGACCUGCCUUCGAGCGGGGGAUAACGUCCCGAAAGGGACGCUAAUACCGCAUAACAUCCUGCCUUUUAAGAGGUGGAGAUCAAAGCCGGGGAUUCGCAAGAACCUGGCACUUGAAGAGGGGCCCGCGCCUGAUUAGCUAGUUGGUGGGGUAAUGGCCUACCAAGGCAACGAUCAGUAUCCGGCCUGAGAGGGCGGACGGACACACUGGGACUGAGACACGGCCCAGACUCCUACGGGAGGCAGCAGUGGGGAAUUAUUCGCAAUGGGCGCAAGCCUGACGACGCAACGCCGCGUGGAGGAUGAAGACCUUCGGGUCGUAAACUCCUUUCGAUCGAGACGAAUGUUUUUCGGGUGAACAAUCCGGAAAAGUGACGGUACCGAGAGAAGAAGCCCCGGCUAACUCUGUGCCAGCCGCCGCGGUAAUAC
rnacentral:rRNA from 1 species